rnacentral:rRNA from 1 species
CGCGCAGGUGGUUUCUUAAGUCUGAUGUGAAAGCCCACGGCUCAACCGUGGAGGGUCAUUGGAAACUGGGAGACUUGAGUGCAGAAGAGGAUAGUGGAAUUCCAAGUGUAGCGGUGAAAUGCGUAGAGAUUGGGAGGAACACCAGUGGCGAAGGCGACUUACUGGGCCGUAACUGACGCUGAGGCGCGAAAGCGUGGGAGCGAACA